AUCAAGUCGAAUGGAUAUCAGUGUUCGAAGUAGGCUGAUUUUCCUUGUGAACCCGUUGAUAACUUUUGUAGUUUCUGCCACAAAUCCUUGACUUUGGUUUCAUUUUCAAUGUGCACAUAUAGCUUGGGAUCGAAGCGUUUUGUCUAUACACUACCGUUACCGGCACGUGUGAUGCUAAAUUUUUAAUUUGGUAUCAUUAAGCCGUAACGAGUAGGACGUGCGCGACGGAGAGCGCAGAAGGGUCUGGGCCCGCUUGGAGCCUCCGUCGGUGCAGAUCUUGGUGGUAGUAGCAAAUACUCCAGCGAGGCCCUGGAGGACUGACGUGGAGAAGGGUUUCGCGUGAACAGUAGUUGCUCGCGAGUCAGUCGAUCCUAAGCUCAAGGAAAGAUCUUAUGUCGAUGUGGCAUGUUUUUUUAUUUUUAAAAAUGAUGAAAAAUAACGCCCUUUGAGCGAAAGGGAAUCCGAUUCCUAUUCCGGAACCCGGCAGCGGAACCGUUUCAAUAAUCGUUCCCUCGUCUUUAAAAACGAGUAUUCGACGGGG
rnacentral:ncRNA from 1 species